rnacentral:rRNA from 1 species
GACGAACGCUGGCGGCGUGCUUAACACAUGCAAGUCGAACGAUGAAGAAAAGAAUCGAAGCUUCGACAGAAAUUCAUUUCGGAUUAGUGGCAGACGGGUGAGUAACGCGUGAGCAACCUACCUCUUACAAAGGGAUAGCCUCGGGAAACCGGGAUUAAUACCAUAUAACAUUGUGACGAAGCAUUUCGAUGCAAUCAAAGCUACGGCGGUAAGAGAUGGGCUCGCGUCCCAUUAACCGGAUGGUGAGGUAACGGCUCACCAUAGUGACGAUGGGUAACCGGCCUGAGAGGGUGAACGGUCACACUGGAACUGAGACACGGUCCAGACUCCUACGGGAGGCAGCAGUGGGGAAUAUUGCACAAUGGAGGGAACUCUGAUGCAGCGACGCCGCGUGAGUGAUGAAGGAAUUCGUUUCGUAAAACUCUGUUCUAUGGGAAGAAAAGGACUGUACCAUAGGAGAAAGCUCCGGCUAAAUACGUG